UUUUGGCUUGUGCACCACUUUGAGGGCUUUCCUCAGGGCUGUGAAGCAGUUUAUAAACUUGUAAGCAACCGAAGUACAGCGAAACCGCAGAAAUCGUUUACUUGGGUGAUAAGCUUGAGACCAGGAACUUUUGUAAGCACCUUGGGAGCCUUUGUGUCUAAAAGAGCAGGUUACAAGAACAUUUCAAAAUGGUCUGCAGAAUCAGACAAAAUGUCCACUAGUGUAGCAUUCUGUUCUCAAAGGAGAUAGCUAGAUGUCAUAAGAAUAGUUAUAAUAAUAAUUUUAUUAUUUAUACCCCACCCACUCUGGGCGGCUUCCAGCACAUAUUAAAACAUAAUAAAACGUCAAACAUUAGAAACUUCCCGAUACAAGAUAUAGCUACAGUCACCAAUUUAGCUUGAAAAGAGGAUUAGACACAUUGGCUGUCAGUGGCUACUAGUUAUGAUGGACAUCUCCACUAUCAGGCAGCAUUCCUCUGAAUGCAAGUUGUUGGAGAACAUGAGAGUACAGUACCAUCAAAUUCAUGACCUGUUUGUCGGCUUCCAUAUUUUCAGGGUUGUGAGAACAAGUUGCCGUUGUCUGGUGCCAGCAUAAACACUGAACCUACUCAAGCCAGUUCCCCACGACCACUGAAGUCCACGCGGAAUAGCGCCAUAAUGGAAUCAAUUACCUGCAAAGAAAUAGUAAAGAGGGAGAGGAUGUGAAAGGAGAAUUUGAAAAUUCCUGGCUCCUCGUGGAAUUUGGCAGCAACAUAAUCAAGCAAUUCCAUCUGAUGUUCACCUUGAAGCACCAUGGAAGAAUGAUAAAAACAGGAAAAGCAGUUAGAAACCAAUAUGAAAGGGGGGAAGAAGUAAGUAGCUUGCUUAGAAAGUAGAAACUUGUGUUCCAGAGGAUUUGGCAGAAGCAUAGUUUUCCACCAACAAAAAUAUAUUGUAUCUUUCAUCUCAUGUAAUAAUAUUAUGGAUAAGGUUCCAUCCACAAAACGUUUAAGAUUUUUAAAAAUAUUAUGCUAUACUGAAGCACUUGAAGUGGCUUUUGCACAUCCAAAAAUAGCUUUUCACACAAUUGUUUGUUGAAGAAGCAGUGGAAAUCAACCUCACAUUUACAGCUUUAGUUGACUUUGAGCAAUGCUACUGUGGACUGUCUUCUGCAUUAUUUUUUCUUGAGGUAACUGCUACUUUUUCUGCUUUAGGCAAAGGUAACUAUCCAGAGCUUGGUAGGUGCUAAGGGAGCAUAUAAUUAUACCACUUGUUAUAAUUGCUGUUUGCUCUGAAUCAGCAGUAAAGCACAGGUUUUUGCAGGGAGAGCUCCAGAGCAAAAAAUAAAUAAAAUAAAAAUAAAAUUUACUUGGACCACAGACCUUAAAGCAUGGACUGUGCAUGGAAAACACAGGAAAGGUACAUGUGGAUAAGCCCUGUGGGCUCAUCCCAGUGCAGGUAAGCUUUAUACCCCAGACUUAAAUUUGUUCUGCUGAAACCUACUUUUACCCAAUGUAAAUUAGGUAAAAUAAUCAUAUACACUACAGGAUUGCAUAAGGACCACAACAACAAAAAUACAGAGUUCAUAUUUUAAAAUGGUAAUUCAUAAUAUUCCUGAUGGCCCCUUGGUACUGAGAAUUGUUUAAUCUUAAAGUGGGGAGGAUUUCCAUGCAAUCUUCAGUUGGAAUCUUACUUGUAUAUGCCCGUGCAUAUAAUACAUUGUCAAGAACUGCAUCAUGGUCUGCAUUGAAGCGAUCAGCAAUAUCACGAAGACGGUCUGGACGGCUGGGGUGUUUCCUAGUUAAGGUAUCUAGUUUCUAAUCCAGUUUCUGAGAUGUGGUAGCUGAAUUCCCAUACAAGCAAAAAUUCUUCUCAGCAGUUCUUCAUGCACUACAGUUAAAUAAAUGAAUGGUAUUCUUUAUACACCCACCCAUAAAACUCAAGUUUCAUAUAAAUGGCUCUUCAAAUCUUCUUAACACCACAAAACAUUUUUUUUUAUUGUCACCAUUAGGAAAAUCUUCCAAUUUAUUCUGUUAAAGCUGUAAUAUCUCAAAAGAAAGGAUACAAGGUGUUUUCUGUGUCAAUGAAAAUAAUCUUCCCACCAGUAUAGCCAUCCGUUCCAGGAAGCUGGGCUGUUACUAUAAAAAGGAGUGAACAAAUUUAAGCCCUACUACAUGCCAUUUUAAUACCUGGAAUUUUUCAUUAUUGAUAAUCACUAGCAGCUUUAUAGGAAGGCCAGUGUAAAUCCUCAAGACUACUUAGAAGUAUCCCAAGUAAUUUCUGUUCUUGACAAGCCCCCAAAGGCAUGAUCAAAAGCACACAACGUGGAAGGAAGUUCCAAGAAAGUGGAGGAACUUCCCUUUCCAUAGAGCAUAGCAGAGUUCACUGGUUAAUGACUCCGCCGUUAGGGCUGCCAUACAUCCAGAUUUUCCUGGACAUUCCUGGUGCUUUGUCCUGGGUCUUGUGUAAAAAAAACUCAACAACUUUUGGGGUGUCUUGGCUUUUACUUCUUGAAAUAUGGCAACCCUAUCCUCCAUUAGCUGAAGCAGAGAGCCUAGAAAACUGGGAAAAGGUCAAUUUUGUUCUAGCUGUUGAGAAACGAGAUUGAGGGUGUUGUUUUCUCUUCAUCUUCCCGUCCCCCCCGUACUAGCUGAGGAACCCAGUGAUAUGAUCCCUUGGGAGAUCUGCAGACCCUUGAGUCGUGCAGGUCCUAAGCCUCCAGCACUCUACCCCAACUCUGUUGGUAGUAGCCUCCUGCCUGCUUGGGCAUACCAGAAGCCUCAGCUGUGACACAUUCCUCCCCAUCUCAGCAGCACUCCUUUCCUUUGGCAGGGAGGUGAAUAUACACCAUCCUAACCUCUCCCAGGCAACAACAUUGGAGGGGUGGAUUGUACCCUAAGUUAAGUUAGAUCUGGAAAUUAUAAAUAACAUUAAAAUAGUAAUCAUAAUUAGUGGCAGUUUUUUUCACUUGUAAAACUAAUAGACUUUCAGGCCUUCAUCCUUAAAAUAGAUUAACCUUGAUGCAGAAAUAUUUAUAUUAAUUAUUAUUUUAAAAGCAAAUUACAAGUUUUUGGAAACAGAACAUACAGUUCUCAGGAUGGGUGUCAUAUACAUACCACAAAGAGUGUGGGAAAGCUGAGUUUUGCCGGUUCGGAAUUCUAAUUAAAAAUAUAAAGAAUUAAAUUUGCUAGUCAUAUGAAACAAUAUAGUCAGUAUUCCCCCCCCACCUGCCCCAAACACACACACACACACACACACACACACACACACAUUAUUUGGGCUGCUUUCUGCAAAAAGUAGAAUUGAACUCCCCAUGCAUCAGCUAAUGUUUAGCAAGUUUGUCUGAACACUGCACAAAGCUGGAUUAAGUUUAAGAAAUUUAGGGCAUAACUUAAACUGAUCUUGAAAGAAAUAUUUCUUUUAAAUUACCCAUUCACCUUUUUUACUCAUUUACAUGGCCCCACCAAAAACACUAAUGGCAGACAUCCCCAGCAAAUACAUGCACUACAAAAAUAGGGGUAUGCCCCCAAAUAUUUCUACAAACAAGCUAGAGUAUCGUAUCACCCAAACACGCAUUUGUAAUAGCUUAGGGAAGCGAACAUGUUCCAUGAUAUACUUUCACUCACCCCCAAAGGCUUCAGUAAUUGCCAUGCUUUCAAUUCCACCACCCAAGAGUUUACUGGAAGUGCAGAUAAGGGGAAGAAGUUAUGCAAAACAAGUCACAAAGCCAAGAAAGCAAUAUGAAAUAAACUUUUUGCUCUAAGGAAAGUGUGCCCAUGUUGAAAGACCCUGCAUGUGAUUUUCACAGCCUGUAGGGACAACAUGGGUUGCUAUUAGCUGGCUUCUAGCUUACAGGGAAUUGCUAUUCUUUUAGAUCUCGAAUAUACACUAUAGGGUUACUGUUGUGACAUCAAAUGACAACAUUUGUACAGUCAUUAAAACAAGAUAUGGACAAGCCUGUUGGCCAUAGAUGCAGCCCCUUUGCAAAAACUGGCAAAUAAACCAGAAAAUCUUCCAUUGUUUCCCAUUUCAUCUGAAUCAGGAAGCUAUAAUUAAAAUCUUCAGAACAAGCCACAAUAUUAAGCUAUGGUUUGAAGUUGGCUUAAUAUACUUGCUUGUUCUGAAGAAGCAGUAGAAGAGGAAGAUAUAAAUAAUUGGUUCAUAAAGUUUCUGAUAUUUAAAUAUUUUGCCCACAUUCCAACAUGGAGUUUGCUACACUUGUUCAUUGAAAUAAAUGAGCUUAAACCUGCCAAACUGUUGGACUCUAACCUUCUACCAUAUAUUGAUCUUUAGGCCACUUAUUUGUACACUACCGUAUAUAUUUUUUUAAAAAAGGAAGUUUGUGCUCUAAAUGUGGUUUGUACAUAUUUUCUCCUAUCUACUAAUUGCCACCCAUUUUGCCUAAUAAUAUAGUUGCCAACUGCUCUUUCUUUCUUAAAGUAUGAGGAGUAAACAACAUGGCUUGUCCUGUUAUUUGACUUCAUUCAUCUGGGAAAGAGCACAUCACUUGGGGAUCCAUUGCUCCUCCACCCCCACUACCAUGCCAAGAAUAUGGACACCUGUCCAAGUCAUCUCUUGUGCUGUAGGAGGUACUGCUUACAGAAAAGGGCAAUGGCCUUUCAAAAGAACAGACAGCUCUUCACAGUGCUGAUAGGCAGUUCAGUCAGAAGACUCAGAAGGCUUCCGCAUACUACUGAGGCAACAGCUCUCCCUAGCCACCACUGGGUACUCUGAAUUCUCCAGGGGAUGAAAAGCUGCCUUGUGUUUCCUGCCUCCCUGGUUAGGUUUUGACAACUGCUCCAGAUUUACAGAAUGUGCAAUCCUCCCGAUGUUGCUAGAAUACAACAACAACUUUCCUGCUCAUGGGAACCAACUUUCCUGCUGAUGGGAACUGUGGUCCAACAACAGCUAGAGGGACACAGGUUUCCCAUCCCUAGCCUACCCUUACUGAAUUGUCAGUUUUGACUCAAUUACUUGACUGGACUUCCUUUGUCUUGACCCUGCUCUUGGGAUUGCAUCCUCUGUCCUAUAAGGAGUGUCAGGACAUCAGCUUGGACUUCCCUGGGACCUUAAGUUGGGAGAAGACAGGAUAAUGGCCCUGGCAUCAUUAGGCUUCAAUCCUAUACACACACUUGCCUGGGAGUAAGGUCCAUUGAAUUUAACAGGACUUGUUUCAGAGCAGCAUGCAUAGUGUGACACUGUUAGCUAUUAAAUUGGGUCUGGAUAUAGAACUUGUUAGCAAACAAACAAACAACAAAACAAGCAGCAACAAUGAAAGCUUCUUGAAAUACUGAGUUAAAUAAAAAGCAGUGUUGGCUGUUUACUAACUCAAAUUCUUGACUUCCAGUGGUGAUAUGGAACACCAUCCUACGUUUCUCACUGUACUCAAAAGCUGUCAAAAAUCCUGGUUCCUGUAAGAAGCACAAAGUGGUUGAAACCUUAAUCAGCAUAAACAAUGAUCAAGGAUGAUGGGAGCUCUAGUCCCACAACAUCUAGAUGGCCACACAUUCCCCAACCCUGGUCUACACUAACUGGCAGCUGCAAUCCUAGAUUUCAGACAGGGGGUGUCUCCCAGCCCUAUCAGGACAUACUGAAGAUUGAACCUGGAACCUUUGGCAUGCUAAGCAUGUGCUGUAGUCACGACCCUUCCCUACUUAAUAGAGAAGAGUCCUCUACUUGCAGGGCUGUCUGGUCCAUCAGCUGACUAUAAGGUUGUGCUCAGUGGAAUGAAGAGAGAAGCAAUUUUUCAUGAUUCCCUCCCUCCCCCAAACUUCCAGAUCUACCCCAGAGUGUUAGGAGAACCCCCUAGAGGAGAUUUAGGAGGACACAGGAGGCUGCAGUGGGGAGGGGAUAUAGCUGGAAAUUGCUUCCCACCCAGUCCUGCUGAUAGAAGUCAAUCGACUGAUCAACACCAUUGGAUACAUACAACACAUUCUUUCUAAAUUUGCACAUAUGAAGUAGCAGAUGCAGGUGUGUGCCAUAUUUUGUCCAUUUUGUGAUGCAUUUCCUCUGUUUCUGUGAUAGCUGAUGUCUGAUUAGAAGGCAAUUUCCAACUACUGAACUAGUGAAUUAAUUACAUGUUUACUGCAUGUUUUGACAAUGAUCUCUAAAACAUGUGAAGCAGCUACACAUUAAUUUCACGAUGUGUUUACCAUGAGUACAAAUUGCAGAAAGCCAUGGUUCUCUUGCCACAUGCUUUCAAAGUUAAUGUGGUGAAACAAAUGCAUUGAACUGCCUCGCAAUGGCUCAUUAUAGAAAAACACAGCUUCCAUAAUAUGUGAAAUUGACCUCUAAGAUAAGUAUUUUGGACAAGAAAGUACUUAGCUAGGAAUAUACCAACAGUUACUCCAAGAUAGAUAGAUAGAUAGAUAGAUAGAUAGAUAGAUAGAUAGAUAUGUACUGGAUUGCCAACCAUUCCUGGGUGAAGUUAUGAUGGCUUGCCAGGCACAUUAACUGGUAUAAAUAUUUAAUAUGAGGGUUUAAAUAAAGCAGUCAUGAUUAUAUUCCAUCUUAUGCUACCAGUGAGAAAUGGAUGGAGUGCUAGUGUUUGCUUACUAUAAGUUUGUUGGCUGCCUCUUUUAUCUUCUCCACUUUGGCUUCUGAGAGUCCCUUAACAUUGCAUAGUGCCCGCCUAGUUGUCAUCUGAAUUCCUUUGAUUGUACAAAUUCCCACUGUUUUCAGCUUUUUAAUAUCAGCCACAUUCUGUGAAGGACAUAAAAAGGAUUAGAACUCUUGAUGUUCAUGAGAUGUUACAUACAUCAGGGAGGUUAAUAAACCAAAAUCUUGUUCCUCACUAAAAUUAGGAGGGCUUAGAAAUGGUUUUUGGUGCAGGUUUUCUAAUUAUAUUUAUUUUUAUCUCAUUUUAAUCAAUAAAUGUAAGUGUAUCUUGA